UACGUAGGGUGCGAGCGUUGUCCGGAAUUAUUGGGCGUAAAGAGCUUGUAGGCGGUUUGUCGCGUCUGCUGUGAAAAUCCGGGGCUCAACCCCGGGCUUGCAGUGGGUACGGGCAGACUAGAGUGUGGUAGGGGAGACUGGAAUUCCUGGUGUAGCGGUGAAAUGCGCAGAUAUCAGGAGGAACACCGAUGGCGAAGGCAGGUCUCUGGGCCGCUACUGACGCUGAGAAGCGAAAGCAUGGGGAGCGAACAGG
rnacentral:rRNA from 1 species